rnacentral:rRNA from 1 species
UGGGGAAUCUUCCGCAAUGGACGAAAGUCUGACGGAGCAACGCCGCGUGAGUGAUGACGGCCUUCGGGUUGUAAAGCUCUGUUAAUCGGGACGAAUGGUUCUUGUGCAAAUAGUGCGAGGAUUUGACGGUACCGGAAUAGAAAGCCACGGCUAACUACGUGCCAGCAGCCGCGGUAAUACGUAGGUGGCAAGCGUUGUCCGGAAUUAUUGGGCGUAAAGCGCGCGCAGGCGGAUUGGUCAGUCUGUCUUAAAAGUUCGGGGCUUAACCCCGUGAUGGGAUGGAAACUGACAAUCUAGAGUAUCGGAGAGGAAAGUGGAAUUCCUAGUGUAGCGGUGAAAUGCGUAGAUAUUAGGAAGAACACCAGUGGCGAAGGCGACUUUCUGGACGAAAACUGACGCUGAGGCGCGAAAGCCAGGGGAGCGAACGGG